rnacentral:rRNA from 1 species
AUGGAGGAGCCCCCCAGCAACAAGCGCCGCAACUACGGCCACUACCAUCAGGAGGAUGGCCCAACUCACUUCUGCAAGGUCAUCCUUGCACCGAAGCUUGAGUGCAUCCCCAUGCCCCUGGACUUCACCAAGCACUUCGUCGCGGUGCCGACGAAGUUGAAGCUCAGGAAGCACGACGAAGCCUUCGCCGCCAAGGAGUAG